UCUCCAGGAUGUGGAAAUGAGCAGCUACAGCCAGAAAGGAAUUGGUGGAAACAAGUGGAAAAGACAAGAUUGAUGGACAUUGACCCUUCAGGAUACAGCCAGACAGGAAUUGGUGAAAUCAAAUGGAAAAUAUGUGACUGAUAGAUGUUGACUCUCCAAGAUGUGGAAAUGAACAGCUACAGCCAGACAGGGAUUUGUGGAAACAAGUGGAAAAGACAAGACUGAUGGACAUUGACCCUCCAGGGUGUGGAAAAGAGUAACUACAGCCAGACAGGAAUUGGUGGAAACAACUGGAAAAGAAGAGACUGAUGGACACUGACCUUCCCAACAGCAAGACUUAUCAAAGUAGAUAACUGUCACUGAUCAGUGUGCUUUGAUGAUUUGGUGACAGUAACCAGUAGGAGACUCAGAUGAAGUCAUGUGGAUGUGCUUGACAUGAAUGACAAGGAACCCUCAGGUAAAAGAGGAGCCUUAGAGGGAUGGUGUUGGUGUUGGUGAAGUUUUCUUCAACAAUGUGGAAAAGAGCAUUUACAACCUUAUAGGAAUUGGUGGGAGCAACUGAAAAAUACAAUGCUAAUGGAUGUUGACCCUCCAAGGUGUGGAAAUAAGCAGCCACAACCAGACAGGACUGAAUGAAAAAUAAAACUGGAAGAAGCAAACUGGAAUUGGUGGAAACAAUUGGAAAAGACAAGACUGAUAGACAUUGACCCUUGAAGAUAUGGAAAUGGGCAGCUAUAGCCAGGCAAGAAUUGAUCAAAAAACCUAGAAAAGGCAAGACUGUUGGAUGUUGACCCUUUGAAAUGUGGAAAUGAGCAGUUACAGCCAGACAGGAAUUUGUGGAAACAACUAGAA